rnacentral:rRNA from 1 species
ACGUAGGUCCCAAGCGUUAUCCGGAUUUACUGGGCGUAAAGUGUCCGUAGCCAGAUAUAUAAGUCUGUUUUCAAAUACCAUGACUCAAUCAUGGAAAGGGAAUAGAUACUGUAUAUCUAGAGAAUAUUGGAGGUUAGUGGAAUUUCCGGUGGAGCGGUGAAAUGCGUUGAUAUCGGAAAGAACGCCGAAAGCGAAAGCAGCUAACUAUGAUAUUUCUGACGGUGAUGGACGAAAGCUUGAGGAGCAAACGG